AAAGAAAUCACAAAGGUCUUUUUCAGGCUGAAACUUACAAAGCUGAAAACAUGUUGAGAAUAGUACAGUCACAUCCAUGGACUUAAUAAAGACUCUAAUCCUCUUAAAAGUUCUAGAACUUUCUUAUUUUCCCAAAAUUCUAACCUGCAGGAGAGGCAAUUCCUUCAGGGAUCUUCUUCUGAGGGUUCAGAAGAAGGAAACAUCUUCUGUGUCCAAGAACUUAAGGAUUUCCCAGUACUCGGGAGGCUAAGGCAGGAAGAUAAAAAAAGAAUUCAAGGACUUAUAGAUGCAAAGAAGUACUAUGAGAAGGAUUUUUGUCCUGGAUCAGCUGUCACCGUACUGCAGCGCUUGUGUUCAAGUAACCUUCACGUACGAGCCUCUUGCUGUACUACAGAGCCAGCACCACAGCUCACUUCAUCUGGUCACAUAGGCACCGGAUCAUGUCAUGUCAUCACAGGAACAGUGAGUAUGGCCCAGGAAGAUACAGAGAGGACUAAAGUUUUGUUACAGUGUAAAUGUUCUAUUUUACUAUUUUUUGUGGUUAAUUUCUUACUGUGCCUAAUUUAUAAAUUAAAAUUUAUCAUAGAUGUAUCUGUAUAAAACACAUAGUAUAAAUUCUGACUAGUACUAUCUAGUUUGUCAUCCACUGGGGUCUUGGAACAGUAAGCCCCAGAUGAGAGACCUGCUGUAUGUAUGCAAGGGAGCUGAGGGCAAAAUCAGUUAUAUUUUACAUGAAUAUCAUCCUUGGGUUUUUUUCUUUUUUCAUUAAACAGGACUUGUGGAGUCCGGCGUCGUGGUGCACGCCUGUAGUCCCAGCACUGAGGAGGCUGAGGCGGGAGUCUGGCUGUGGGUCCGAGGCCAGCCUGGACUACAUAGCGAGACCGUCUCCAAAAACCAAACAAUAAAUGAAUGAAUAAACAAACAGGAUUUGUGUCUCCCAGUGCCUGG
rnacentral:lncRNA from 1 species